CCCUUAGAUGUUCUGGGCCGCAUGCGCGCUACACUGACGAAUGCAACGAGCUUAUAACCUUGGCCGAAAGGUCUGGGUAAUCUCCAAAUUUCGUCGUGAUGGGGAUAGAUUAUUGCAAUUAUUAAUCUUCAACGAGGAAUGCCUAGUAAGCGCAAGUCAUCAGCUUGCGUUGAUUACGUCCCUGCCCUUUGUACACACCGCCCGUCGCUCCUACCGAUUGAAUGGUCCGGUGAAGCGUUCGGACCGUGGCCUUUGGACGGUUCGCCGUCUGUUGGCUGCGGGAAGUUCGUUAAACCUUAUCAUUUAGAGGAAGGAGAAGUCGUANCA
rnacentral:rRNA from 1 species